rnacentral:rRNA from 1 species
UUGUGUUAAUUCGAAGCAACGCGAAGAACCUUACAGGUCUUGACAUCCCGAUGCUAUUUCUAGAGAUAGAAAGUUACUUCGGUACAUCGGUGACAGGUGGUGCAUGGUUGUCGUCAGCUCGUGUCGUGAGAUGUUGGGUUAAGUCCCGCAACGAGCGCAACCCCUAUUGUUAGUUGCCAUCAUUCAGUUGGGCACUCUAGCGAGACUGCCGGUAAUAAACCGGAGGAAGGUGGGGAUGACGUCAAAUCAUCAUGCCCCUUAUGACCUGGGCUACACACGUGCUACAAUGGUUGGUACAAAGGGUUGCUAAUCCGCGAGGAUGCGCCAAUCCCAAAAAGCCGUUCUCAGUUCGGAUCGGAGUCUGCAACUCGACUCCGUGAAGUUGGAAUCGCUAGUAAUCGUGGAUCAGCAUGCCACGGUGAAUACGUUCCCGGGCCUU